rnacentral:rRNA from 1 species
GCCUACGGGACGCAGCAGUGGGGAAUAUUGCACAAUGGGGGAAACCCUGAUGCAGCGACGCCGCGUGAGCGAUGAAGCAUUUCGGUAUGUAAAGCUCUAUCAGCAGGGAAGAAAAUGACGGUACCUGACUAAGAAGCCCCGGCUAACUACGUGCCAGCAGCCGCGGUAAUACGUAUGGGGCAAGCGUUAUCCGGAUUUACUGGGUGUAAAGGGGGCGUAGGCGGCAGGGCAAGCCUGAUGUGAAAGCCCGGGGCUCAACCCCGGGACUGCAUUGGGAACUGCCCCGCUCGAGUGCCGGAGGGGCG